UACGGAGGAUGCGAGCGUUAAUCGGAAUUACUGGGCGUAAAGAGUGCGUAGGUGGUUGAAUAAGUUAUCUGUGAAAUCCCUGGGCUUAACCUGGGCAGGUCAGAUAAUACUGUUUGACUCGAGUAUGGGAGAGGGUAGUGGAAUUUCCGGUGUAGCGGUGAAAUGCGUAGAGAUCGGAAGGAACACCAGUGGCGAAGGCGGCUACCUGGCCUAAUACUGACACUGAGGCACGAAAGCGUGGGGAGCAAAUGGG
rnacentral:rRNA from 1 species